rnacentral:rRNA from 1 species
CAGUCGCCGCGGUAAUACAGAGGGUGCAAGCGUUAAUCGGAAUUACUGGGCGUAAAGCGCGCGUAGGUGGUUUGUUAAGUUGGAUGUGAAAGCCCCGGGCUCAACCUGGGAACUGCAUCCAAAACUGGCAAGCUAGAGUACGGUAGAGGGUGGUGGAAUUUCCUGUGUAGCGGUGAAAUGCGUAGAUAUAGGAAGGAACACCAGUGACGAAGGCGACCACCUGGACUGAUACUGACACUGAGGUGCGAAAGCGUGGGGAGCAAACAGGAUUAGAUACCCCGGUAGUCCCUGUCUCUUAUAC